UGGUCAAUGUUGAACAAUACGGAGAAUUCUAAGGUAAUAAAGUAAUUCCACACAGUAAUGCCCACUGGCAAAGCCCCAAGUAAGAGAUGCUACCAGCUGUGUGGCUGAUGGAUGAGAGCUGUUUCAUGCGUUUCUUCCUAAAUAGUUUCCUUUGAUAUUUAAACAUUUUUAUGCACCUAUCCUUCUACUUCAGAAUACCCAGCCCUUCAUUUUAUUUCAUUGUUGAAGACAUUGAGGCACAGAGAAGGGAAUGGACUUGCUCAUGGGACCAAAUCAAUAAGAAGGUCGCAUUUCCAGUUGCCAUCUAAUACUAAAUUCUGAACUGAAACACAUCAGGUGCUGUGAGAUAAGGACACAUCUCUCUUGCACAGAAGGCAUUUCAGUGUUCAAAGUGCCCUUAGACGCUGUGUCUCAUGCUGCUCUCCCCCUUCUUUGGGGCUAUCAAUAGCUUCGAAGAGGCCUUUCAACUCUUCUGUGGCCUCUCCAGCACAUACCGGAGCGAGGAGGAAAAUGUAUAUGCUUCCUGAAGGUUCUAGAGCAUUUUGAGCCCUGGGGAGUGUGUGGACUGGGAAUGGUGAAAACAGAUGGGAAACUGAAACAAUAAAACAGGAAAAAAUGUUUUGAGGUCAUGAAACGUUGCUGAGGGCGGUAAAUGGACCUCUGAGGACAAGAAGAGAGGCUCUUUGUGAGAAGCAUUCAAAGACGAAGAACAGAAUGGCUGGCAUGACGGCAACAAGAGUGACUGAGACAGAGUUGAGGGUUAAAAAUAUGACCACCUAGGGGGUCUGUUACCAACUGGAAACUUCUCCGUUGACACGAACGUUCUCUUCAUGGAAUGGGUAGCAAAUUGGGCCAAAGUGGUGCAGGAAAGUUCCAGGAAGAGAUUGUCAGCCCCAACCAGGAGCUGAAUGUCCUCCAGCACCUAAAAUAAUUCCCCACAACACUUUCUAAAUGCUUGCUGAAUAAGAGGUG